rnacentral:rRNA from 1 species
GACGAACGCUGGCGGCGUGCCUAAUACAUGCAAGUAGAACGCACAGUUUAUACCGUAGCUUGCUACACCAUAGACUGUGAGUUGCGAACGGGUGAGUAACGCGUAGGUAACCUGCCUGGUAGCGGGGGAUAACUAUUGGAAACGAUAGCUAAUACCGCAUAAUAUUAAUUAUUGCAUGAUAAUUAAUUGAAAGGUGCAAUUGCACCACUACCAGAUGGACCUGCGUUGUAUUAGCUAGUAGGUGAGGUAACGGCUCACCUAGGCGACGAUACAUAGCCGAACUGAGAGGGUGAUCGGCCACACUGGGACUGAGACACGGCACAGACUGCUACGGGAGGCAGCAGUAGGGAAUCUUCGGCAAUGGGCGAAAGUCUGACCGAGCAACGCCGAGUGAGUGAAGAAGGUUUUCGGAUCGUAAAGCUCUGUUGUAAGAGAAGAACGGGUGUGAGAGUGGAAAGUUCACACUGUGACGGUAUCUUACCAGAAAGGGACGGCUAACUACGUG